CGUUGUGAUGUCGGCCUACCGACGCCUUGCUGUUUUACCGACAUAAGUAAUUUUUUAUCUCUCGCUUCUUCGUAUAUGACAUCCGAGAUCCAGGUAUGCGAACGCGAGCCCCAUUGUCAAUCUUAAUAUCAACAUCCAUCAAGGAGGAGCUGCAUCUUCAUGUAGACGUACAUGAAGCACCUGACGUACAGCGAUGAGCAGGGUAUAAAACGACCUGUAUUACUAGGCCUAACUCAUUCUUUCAUUGUGAAACCUCGUAUGUGUUGCUAUUUUCAUUGCGUUAUCAAUUCUUAGCGUUAGCAUUACCAUUGUUAAUAUAUCUUAUAGCAUAUAAGAUUUGUAAUAAUCAUAUCAGUUUUGGAUUCUUUAUUAUUGAAUAUAAGGAUUUUAAUAUAAGUUCUUGUUAAUAGUUGAAGAUUCUAUUCAGGCGACGAAGUAGAGAGAAAUAGAAAUUAUAAAUUAAGUGCUCGUAAAUUUGAGUUGCAAAGAGGUCCACCGCGUAACUCAGGUGACGGGAGUGAGGAGAUCCGCACGCUGUGGAAGCAAUUCUGUACCUUAGUUUUAAUUAUUACUAAUAGCUCAAUAUUGAAGAUGCAUUACAUCGAUCGUAAGAGUCAGUUGCGGAAACCUGAACUGUGGAAAAGCCAUCCAAAAUAACUGAGGACACUCAUAUCGUCACGCCCGUCGUAGUCCAUCGACGCACACUCGAGUCCCCCCGACCUCAAGGAUUUCUGCAUACACGAUUCGGCAAACGAUAUGAAUCUUAGGCAUCGCCAAGCUAUACUUCAUGCCUAUUAUGGCAUAAAUAAAUAAAUUUUUAUGCUAAAGUCUCGAUUCAAAGAUGUUUUUGUCUUCGAAAACUUCUCGCAUAAAAUUAUCAACAAAAAUCAUAUUUUUCUUGCUUCAUAUAGAGAUCUUCGAAAUUAUCAUUAAAGGUUAGAUGUAUAUACAGAAUAAAUAUACAAUUAAAUACACUAUCAUAAUGAGAAUAAUAA